GCUGCUAUGGCUCAGUUGGUAGAGCGCGUCCUUGGUAAGGACGAGGUCACCGGUUCAAAUCCGGUUAGUAGCUCCA
rnacentral:tRNA from 2 species